rnacentral:rRNA from 1 species
UACGUAGGGGCAAGCGUUGUCCGGAAUCAUUGGGCGUAAAGCGCGUGUAGGCGGCUUGGUAAGUCCGGUGUGAAAACUUGGGGCUCAACCCAAGCGUGCACCGGAUACUGCCUCGCUCGAGUCCGGGAGAGGGAAGCGGAACUCCUAGUGUAGCGGUGAAAUGCGCAGAUAUUAGGAAGAACACCGGUGGCGAAGGCGGCUCCUGGAACGGUACUGACGCUGAGACGCGAAAGCGUGGGAGCGAACAGG